UACGAACUGUGCAAACGUUAUUCGGAAUCACUGGGCUUAAAGGGUGCGUAGGCGGCUUGUUAAGUAGGGUGUGAAAGCCCCCGGCUCAACCGGGGAAUUGCGCCCUAAACUGGCGAGCUGGAGUGAGAUAGGGGUGUGUGGAACUUCCGGUGGAGCGGUGAAAUGUGUUGAUAUCGGAAGGAACGCCAGUGGCGAAAGCGACACACUGGGUCUCAACUGACGCUGAGGCACGAAAGCCAGGGGAGCAAACGGG
rnacentral:rRNA from 1 species